GGAGACGUGGAUAACCCCGGGAAACUGGGAUUAAUACACGAUAGGUCAUCUCAUCUGGAAGGAGAGAUGGCUUAAAGGGGUGUGCGGGCUUCUUCUGUGCAUCUGCUCCAGGAUGGGACUGCGACUGAUCAGGCUGUUGGCGGGGUAAUGGCCCACCAAACCAGUAACCAGUACGGGCCUUGAGAGAGGGGGCCCGGAGAUGGACACUGAGAGAAGGGUCCAGGUCCUACGGGGCGCAGCAGGCGCGAAACCUUCGCAAUGCGCGAAAGCGUGACGAGGUUAAUCCGAGUGGUUCCCGCUGAGGGAAUCUUUUGUCGGCGCUAAAAAAGCCGGCGAAUAAGGGGAGGGCAAGUCUGGUGUCAGCCGCCGCGGUAAUACCAGCUCCUCGAGUGGUCGGGGCGAUUAUUGGGCCUAAAGCAUCCGUAGCCGGUUCCGUAGGUCCUCUGUCAAAUCCAACGGCUUAACCGUUGGCCCGCAGAGGAUACCGCGGGACUAGGAGGCGGGAGAGGCGGACGGUACUCCACGUGUAGGGGUAAAAUCCUUUGAUCCGUGGAAGA
rnacentral:rRNA from 1 species